AGCCCCUCACCAGCCGGGGACACGGGGCAUCUUAGGGCAGGUGAGAGAACCUCCCCGGGCGGAUUCCUCCGACGGAAGCCUCUCUGAGGUGUGGUCACGUCUCGGUGAAACUGAGGUGAACGUCCGUCCGGCCCAAGUCUGCAAAGGGUGGCCCCCCAGUCGGGUUUCACUGUGCUCUCCCGGCCCCAGCAGAUUCUGGCCCCUCUAUCUCCCAAGUCGGCUCUUCCCCCGAGCAACCUCUAGCUGGCCAGCUUCAGGCUUUGUCCUCUACAAGGGUCGGGGACUAGCCCCACUCCUGGUGCAUGCCCAGCAGGCAGUGUGUGAGGAGCCAGACUCCCAAGGUUCGAAUGCUGGCUGUGUGAUCUUGGGUCCAUUAGUCAACCUCUCUGAGCCCCAGUUGCCUCCUCUGUAAAGUGAGGAAAAUAAGGACUACCUACUUCCAAACUGGUUACGAGGUGUGAGUGAGUCAACGUAGAUCAGUGGUUCUCAGCCUGGAUAGUUGACCCCCUCCUGAGGGACAUUUGGUCCUCCUGGAUGCAUUUUUGAUUGUCACAACGGGGAUACGUACUGGGACGCAGUGGUAAGGCCGGAGAAGCUGCUGAACCUUCCUACGUGCAGAGCAGCCCUACAACAGACCCCCGAGGUAGUAAAGCGCCCCGACUGAGAAACCUGGUGUGUAAAGCGCUCGCUCGGAAGGGGCCCAGCCCAGACGGCACUGGCCAACACCCGUCUCCUGGGCUCCCGACGUCCUUCCACGUGGAAGUGCCCACCAUGUUCUUCUGUCCACUCUGACGACGGUCCAGUGUUUCUUGGGCGAAGCCUCGCGCCCCACAGAAAUGGCCUUCUGGUUUGCCUGAGGUCUGUUUGGAGCACUGGCUGAUCAGAGGCUCUGAAAAGGUUUUGUGUUUCCGCGUAGAGCGUGGGAUGGGGUCUUCCUGGCGGCUCUGAGUUGCCUUGGGGGUUUUAAUUUUAAUAGUUUGCAGUACUGAACCAUGGGCUUGUGCACCCGGCUACAUCCCUGGCCCUUUUGAUUUUGAGACGGGGUCUUGCUAAAUUGCCAGGGCUGGCCUCAAACUUGUGAUCCUCCUGCCUCAGCCUCCUGAGUAAAGACAUGGCUUCUAAGCAAGAAUUCAGGACUCCCAGCAGGGUGACGGGGACCAUCGCUGGUCUGGACCCUAGCAGAGGAAUUGGAUUUUGGACAAGGUGAGUGACCAUCGGCCACUGUGAAC